rnacentral:rRNA from 1 species
CUCAAAGAAUUAAGCCAUGCAUGCAGAAGUUCAGACGACUAGAUCGUGAAACCGCGAACGGCUCAGUAAUAGAACCAUAACCCACUUGACCUUAACACACUACUGGGAUAACUGUGGUAAUUCUAGAGCUAAUACCUGCCAAAAACCUUACAACAAAGGGGCAUUUAUUACACAAACCGUAUCAACAAUACAGGUGAAUCAGAAUAACUAUGCUGAUCGCAUGGUCUUGUACCGGCGACGUGUCUUUCGGGUGUUUUCCUUAUCAACUUGACGGUCGUAUAUUUGACAACCGUGGUGAUUACGGGUAACGGAGGAUCAGGGUUCGACUCCGGAGAAGGGGCCUGAGAAAUGGCCACUACGUCUAAGGAUGGCAGCAGGCGCGCAAAUUACCCACUCUCAGCAUGAGGAGGUAGUGACGAAGAAUAUCAAGSACGGACUCUCCGAGUUCGUGCAUUGGUCUGAGUACAACWUAAACAAGUGUACGAAUGUCUAUGAGAGGGCAAGUCUGGUGCCAGCAGCCGCGGUAAUUCCAGCUCUCAGAGUGCAUAGAUUGUUUGCUGUGGUUAAAAAGCUCGUAGUUGGAUCUGAAGUCAACGGUGUUUUGCACUUACAAAGUACUGACACUAUUUGGCUUAUGCCUUGAGCGAGCAUAUUGCCUUGAUUGGCGGUGUGUGAGCGAUCGGCGCAUUACUUUGAAUAAAUCAGAGUGCUCAAAGCAGGCGAAAUGCCUAAAUGAGGCGGCAUAGAAUAAUAGAAUAGGGCUUUGGCUCGCAUUUUUAUUGGUUAUUGAGACAAGGCAAUGGUAAAUAGGGACAGACGGGGGCAUCUGUACUCCUGCGCGAGAGGUGAAAUUUUUGGACCGCAGGAAGACAAACUAGAGCGAAGGCAUUUGUCAAGCAUGUCUUCAUUAAUCAAGAACGAAAGUCAGAGGUUCGAAGGCGAUCAGAUACCGCCCUAGUUCUGACCGUAAACGAUGCCAACUAGCGAUCCGCCGGCGGAUAUUUCGCCCUGGUGGGGAGCUUCCCGGAAACGAAAGUCUUCCGGUUCCGGGGGAAGUAUGGUUGCAAAGCUGAAACUUAAAGGAAUUGACGGAAGGGCACCACCAGGAGUGGAGCCUGCGGCUUAAUUUGACUCAACACGGGGAAACUCACCCGGCCCGGACACCGCGAGGAUUGACAGAUUGACAGCUCUUUCAUGAUUCGGUGGAUGGUGGUGCAUGGCCGUUCUUAGUUCGUGGAGCGAUUUGUCUGGUUUAUUCCGAUAACGAGCGAGACUCUAGCCUGCUAAAUAGUCUGCACAUUCGCAUGUGUGUGCUCAGACUUCUUAGAGGGAUUUUCGGCGUUCAGCCYCACGAGAUUGAGCAAUAACAMGUCUGUGAUGCCCUUAGAUGUCCGGGGCUGCACGCGCGCUACACUGGCGAAMGCAGCGUGCCUGUCCUGUCCCGAAAGGGARGGGUAAACCAUUGAAAAUUUGCCGUGAUUGGGAUCGGGAAUUGCAAUUAUUUUCCGUGAACGAGGAAUUCCAAGUAAGUGCGAGUCAUCAACUCGCGUUGAUUACGUCCCUGCCCUUUGUACACACCGCCCGUCGCUGCCCGGGACUGAGCCAUUUCGAGAAAUUUGGGGAUUGGCGCUGGAGCCCCGCGAGGGGUUCCUUCGCUGCGAACCAACUUAAUCGCAG